UGGUGCUGCGCCGUCCCUUUCUCAAACAUACAUCCCGGGUUGGGCAAACGCCGUAGUGUUCGGUGCUUACGUGGGCUUGCCUUCCUAAGCGCGCGCGCCCACCUCCUCUUUCCCUCCCUCCCUCCCUCCCCUCACCCCGCCCUCAUCAGCUGCCAUGGCGCAACUUACGAGAGAUGAGGUCCACACCUACGCCGAGGCCAUGAUCGCCGCCAUCAAGACACCUGCGUUUCAGGAGCGCGUCCGUGCUGCGAUGAGCCGUGAGCCGACCCCGACGGAUGCUGAGGCCGUCAUGAAGCGCUAUGAAGAAGUACAGGCGGACUACUUCACCAACCACUACAACGCCGAAGCCGGCGGCAUCUGCAGCAGCGUCAGCGCCGGUGCAGUGGGCAGAGGUACUGGCGACGCGUGUGGUCGUGCUAAGAGCUCUCAAGAUGCAUCCGGGGUACUGGCGCAGCAGGUGGACAACAUGAGCCUCGAGAAGGCAAGCGAUGCGCCGAAGCUGGACGGCGUCGAAAUUGUGGAGCAGCUCAAGAACGCGGUACGCAUGUACAAGGAGAAGGAGACGGUGCGGCUCAUCACGGAGCUCUGCUUGCUGAUCGAGUCGCAGGUGACGGCGCUCCCAGCGGCCGUGCCAGCCCUGAAGCACCUCUACAGCAAUUCCGUGUAUGGCUCCAGUGCGAUGGAGCAGGCGCAGGCGGCGUCCGCGCGGGCCGGCGGCGGUGAGAACGUGUUACCCGUCGCGCACCCGUCUCCACAGGUGAUGCAAAUGAUGGACAUGGCGAUGCGCACCCUCAGCCCAAAGCAACGCGAGACCCUCGAGCGAGUGCAGCGGGCAACGAUGAACGGCAGCCCGCCGUUGCCGGAGGAUAUGCAAGACAUGCUCCUCAUUCAGCGUCAGCUUGGCGCCUUCAUGCAGACGAUGCAGCGCUUCGGCCAGAUGCCGAGCGGCAGGGGUCGUGGCAGUGGUGGUCGCGGCGGCUGUGGUGGGCGAGGGGCCCCGUAGAUGGCCAUCCGGCGUCGGCCACGUCAGCAAAAACGCUGUGGGGGAGGAGAGAGGACAGCUUCAUGGAAUCAACCUUACGCGCGUCCAGACCGCGCAACGGCGGUGCAUUUUGCGUUUUCGCCCAUCCCUCACCUCACCCCCACCCCUUUUUUUUCCGCUGUCCGCGGUCCGCAUGUGGUCGUGACCAGCUUCACUCUCUCCCCCUUUACAAGCGCUACUGCUGCCACUGUCAUCGCUGUAUUCUGCUCUCGUCAGCGUCAUCACCGGCGUGGUUCUCGCAACUCCCCCCACCCACCACCCACCACCACCUUGUGAGUGGCACCGUCGCGCCGCCUGCGAGGCCUCCGUCAGCCAUCCCAAGUGGAUUCGGACAGGGACGAGACUGGUCACUGUGGGUGACCGUCUGGGGUUGCUGCGCCACAAUGGCACCGCUUGCUGGUGCCGCUGUCCUCGUUCGAUCCCGAGCUCCGGUUAAGCUUCGGCGGCGGCAGCAGCAGCAGAGAGGGCAUCAUGGUCGGAUGCGAGUAACUCCCCACCCCCCACCCCCACCUC
rnacentral:misc_RNA from 1 species